UCUAAUAGUACAACUGAAUUUUAUUGGUUUUGACUAAAUUCUUGUAUUUAAAAUAAAAUAUAAUAUUUUUUAAGUGAAAUUUAAAAUAUUAAAAAAAACUUAAUUUGAAAUUGUAAUCUAUAAAUUAAAUUAAAAACUAGGAUUAGAUACCCUAUUAUUAUAACUUAAAUUUUUAUCCUAUAAUUAAUAGUUAUGUUCUUUAAAGUAAAAAAAUUUGGCGGUAUUUUAUUCUAAUUAGAGGAACCUGUUCUGUAAUUGAUAAUCCACAAUUUGAUUAACUUUUUUUAUAUUUUGCAUAUCGUUGUUUAAAAUAUUUUUUUAGAAUAUAUUUUUUUAUAAUAUUAUUAGUUAAUUCAGAUCAAGGUGCAGAUGAUAAAAAAGUAGAAAUGGGUUACAUUUAUAAUAAUUAUGGUUUAAUAUUUUUAAAAUUUUAAUAAAUUGGAUUUAAAAGUAAAUUUAUAUAUCUUUAUAAUUUGAUUUUAGCUCUAAAAU
rnacentral:rRNA from 1 species